AGGACUUUCCACUAACAGUAUGAAGAGUCGGGUCCAGGCUAUGCAGUUGUUGGUUCCACGUGGGCUCUGAAGUUUUGAGAGGUGUUGAUUUUUCAAGAAUUGAUGUACCCCAAAAGGUUAACAGCCACUGACACUCAGGUUGACCCUGCUUCUGGGCCAUUGGGAACCUGCUGCCCUGAACCCAGGAACGCAGACAGCUCUGGUGCGCUGACCUUGUCUGCCCAGCAGUGGACUUGCGGCAUCACAGCAUCACAGGCCUUAGGAAGGAGCUUACACGUGUGGAGAAAACCAGCAGGAAAGAUCAAACAAAGUCCCUGCAGAGAAUGGAAGCUUUUUAAUAAGAGCGAAGUCCUGCACCACAUAAGGCUAAAGUCUGCAGGGUAGAGACUCCCUGUCUCCCUGUGGUCCUGGCUCAGCCCUGCCGCUUUGUGACCAUGUCUGGCUCCACCUGGGCCAGGUAGCUGCGUGACACCCUCCACGGGCUCCUGGGCUAUAGAAGACGGGAUGCGAUGUCCGUUUCUGAAUGGUUCUCCUACCUGUGGCUUGGUGGGUACUGCUGGGUCCCUGAUGAUUUGUGCACCGUGGGGAAGCCACCACCCACCCCAAGGCUGUGCCACAGCAGGGCACAGUGGACUCACCACCUGGUCUCCACCAGACCUGCUUGGAGAUGACGCUUCCAGCGGGCAGAAGGCAGCUUGAAGGGCAGUGGUCUUGGUGGAGGAACCCAAAGGGCUGGGCCGUCUCGUCCUCCUCCUCUCGGCGGAAGGAGGAACGCGGAGGAACGCGUCUCAGGCCCUAGAUUCCAAUCUGCGGACCCAAGCCCAGGAGGAGCUGAUUGCCGGGCACAGGGACUGCUGUCCAGAGGCAGGCCUAGACGCGUCCUGUGAGUACCUGCAACAGGGGAAUGCUGUGCCCAUCCCAGAAGCCCCAGAGCUCCACCCCUCCUGCAGUGCUCCUGGGCUGGAUCGCGUGGCCCCGGAACUGGGUGCUCAGAGUGCUCAGGCACCCACCACUCACCUCUCACCUCAGGCCAUUGCACCCGGCAACCUGACACCCUCUAGUGUCCUACCUGGGUGCCCAUCCCCCUGCACUGGUCCUUGUCACCACCACCUCUUUCCCAAAGGAUCUGCUCUGCAUCUGAAUACGUUCUGAUAAAUAAUGAACUGGAUUCUGCAUGCAGCCUUGGGGAAGCGGGGAGAAAGGACCUUACCUUGUGCCUGCCUGUGUGUUCACAUUCCAGGGAAGGAAAAACGUGUUUUGCUGAAGCAAAAAUGUCUUCCAGCAAUCAGUGGUUCCUGCUAGGGUCUCCCCAAGCCUCUGUGAGAUAAAGGACCCCGGUGUUCACUGAGCCCGGGGCCUGAGGGAUCUGCCUCCUGAGCAGGGAGGCGUCUGAGUCCUCAACCAGUAGGUCCCCCCCCCCCCCGCCCCUGCUCAUCUCUGCCGGGCCGGGGCGCCCUGCUCUCGCGGCAGCUCAGGCUUCCUCUCAGCCCUUCCCAUUUCUGCUCUCUCCUCCUGCCUUUUUUUUUUCUUUUUUUAAGAUUUAUUUAUUUAUUUGAAAGUCAGAGUAACACACAGAGAGAAGGAGAGGCAGAGAAAGAGAGAGUUCUUCCAUCCGCUGGUUCACUCCCCCAUUGGCCAGAGCUGCACCAAUCCAAGGCCAGGAGCCAGGAGCUUCUUCCAGGUCUCCCACUUGGGUACAGGGACUGGAACUGGCAUCCAUAUGGGAUGCCGGCACUGCAGGCGGCAGCUUUACUCGCUAUGCCACAGCGCCGGCCCCUCUCCUCCCACCUUUAAAACACAUCAUGUAGGGGCUGGCAGAACAAGUAAAGCUGCUGCCUGCAGUGCCGGCAUCCCAUAUGGGCGCCAGUUCGAGUCCCAGCUGCUCCACUUCCAAUCCAGCUCCCUGCUGUGGCCCAGAAAAUCAGUAGAAGGUGGCCCAGGUCCUGGGACCCUUGCACCCGCAUGCAUUGUAGACAUUUGGGAAGUGAGCCAGGGAUGGAAGACCUCCCUCUCUGUAACUCUGCCUUUCAAAUGAUAAGUAAAUCUUUUAAAAAACACAUCGUGUAGCCCAUAGUCCUAGACUUUGGGGACGGGAGGACAAGGAAGGAGUGGCAGGGCGGGCAUAGUGCUAGGUUUCAGUAAGUGGUCUCAGUUUCCCCUCCAGCACUCUGUGGCUGCUGCCCCCACCCACACCGUAUACCUGAAGUGGGGCUGGAGAAAUGACGAGAGGCGACCUGGGCCUGAGACGCAGCAGGACAAGUCCUGUCAGUGCAGGGCCAGGGCCAGGGCUCUGAUCACGGCAGCAGUAGUUGCACGGUGAGAUCUGACACGCUGAGUCUGCAGUGCAGGCGGAUGGAGCGGGAAAGACGACGACGACCAAGAAACCUGGCAGGCAGAGAAUCUGCAGGGGCGGGUACUGUGCGGAGUGGGCUAAGCUGCUGCUCCCAGCUCUCACUGUGAGGCCAUCACAAAACACACCAAACACUGGCGUUAGAGGAAAGGGUGGGGGAACCCGACAGGCCAGGGGGAGAGGG